rnacentral:tRNA from 1 species
UACUAUUUUGGCAGAGAAGUGUAAUGAAUUUAGAAUUCAUAAAUAUAUAAUUUAAUUAUAUAGGUAGUAA